AUGGCGGACGUGGUUGGCAUCCCCACGGAGAUCCUCCGCCUCGCGCUGGCGAUCAGGCAGGCGGCUGACACGGUGAGGCAGAACAGGGAGGACUGCCUCGAGAUCCAGCGGUGCGUGAACAGGCUCCACGGCAUCAUGUCCUCGGCUAUUCGCGGCACAGGCACGGACAUGAUAGCGAACUUGGCAGUGAGCGCCGCGCUGGGGGACCUGGAACGGAUCCUCCGCCGCGCCCUCGACCUCGUCACCACCUGCCAACGGAGGAGCACCAUUUGCCAUUGCUUCACGGCCGGGAGGAUGUCUGGGCAGCUGCUUCGGGUCCAGCGGGACAUCGCGAACCAGCUGUUGAUGGUAAACUUCGCCCAGGUUACCACCCUUCUGAUCACUACUAGGCCUGUUCCACGAGAGGAUCCCGUUUACGGACCCGUUGAGCCCUGGGACUACUGGAUGGCACCAAGGAGUGAAGAUGCCGUCUAUGAUUCGAUACACUUUUGCAUGGAAGUGACAGCUGCCGUGUCAUCAUCACGUUCACGCUUGAGGGUGUUCAGCAUGUCUGAGUUGGAGGCCGCUACAAAUAGCUUUUCAUGUGAACAAGUGAUCCAUGAUGGCGACUCUGUUACCGUCUACAAGGGUGUAUUACCUGAUGGGAGCGUGGUUGCCAUCAAGCGAUCUCAUGAUGAAAAGGAUCUUCUAUUUCCAGUGCACCUCCAGCACAAAAACGUAGUUACAUCUCUAGGAUACUGCCCUCAUGAACAAGGGAAGCUGGUGGUCGAAGAGUAUAUGCCAAACGGAAUGUUGUCUGAGAUGAUCAAUGAGAUGUCGGAACAGCUAGAUUGGCCCUCCACGUUGCAGACAGUUCAAGGGAUCGCAGAGGGCGUAGCUUAUCUCCAAACCAUGCGUGUCGUGCAUCCGGAUUUGAAGCCUUCCAACAUCUUCUUUGAUUCUGAUAUGAAUCCUAAGAUAGGUGGGCUUGGAAAGUCUAAACUUGUGCUGGAACAAGGUGUCGCUCAAAUAAAGACAGAAGAGCUACUUGGCACAGUGGGCAAUAUACCUCCUGAGUAUAUCAGUGACGGCAUUAUCUCCAUGAAGAGCAACGUUUUCAGCUUCGGCGUCCUCUUCCUCCGUAUCAUUAGUGGGAUGAGAGGCCCUGUACUAAACCAACAUCCAAUUGCAUGGGCUUUGGGGGUUUGGGAAGCUCGACAGACGGAGUCAUUUGGUCCGUCACCGCAGGAUCAGUCCGAGAGAAAGGAGAGAGAAAGGUGCAUCUGUAUCGGACUGUUGUGCACCCAAAUGGAUCCUCGUGGCCGGCCAACCAUGCCAGAUGUUCUGGCGAUGCUAAACGGCCAGGAAGAAUUGCCAUCCCCAGAGUUAUCUUGCUUCACUGGAAUAGGAAGUGCAGAGCAGGAGCAGCCGUGGUGGAGGAGCAGCUGGUGGAAGAGGAGGUCUGACGGUAGGAACUGGUCGUUGUUGGAGAAGACACGUUGA
rnacentral:rRNA from 1 species